GAUGAACGCUGGCGGCGUGCCUAAUACAUGCAAGUCGAGCGAACAGACGAGGAGCUUGCUCCGCUGACGUUAGCGGCGGACGGGUGAGUAACACGAGGAUAACCUACCUAUAAGACUGGGAUAACUUCGGGAAACCGGAGCUAAUAGCGGAUAAUAUAUUGAACCGCAUGGUGGAAUAGUGAAAGACGGUGUUGCUGGCAGUUAUAGAUGGAUCCGAGCUGCAUUAGCUAGUUGGUGAGGUAACGGCUUAUCAAGGCAACGAUGCGUAGCCGAGGUGAGAGGGUGAUCGGCCACACUGGAAGUGAGACAGGGUCCAGACUCCUACGGGACGCAGCAGUAGGGAAUCUUCCGCAGUGGGCGAGAGCUUGACGGAGCAACGCCGCGUGAGUGAUGAAGGUCUUCGGAUCGUAAAACUCUGUUAUUAGGGAAGAACAAAUGUGUAAGUAACUAUGCCCGUCUUGACGGUACUUAAUCAGAAAGCCACGGCUAACUACGUG
rnacentral:rRNA from 1 species